AUCUUUUAAUCGAGAUUUUCGCCUUCGGGUACAAUUGAGACAGGUGGUGCAUGGUUGUCGUCAGCUCGUGUCGUGAGAUGUUGGGUUAAGUCCCGCAACGAGCGCAACCCUUUGUGUUUAGUUGCAAACAGGUAAUGCUGUGCACUCUAGACAGACUGCCGUGGACAACACGGAGGAAGGUGGGAUGACGUCAAGUCCUCAUGGCCUUUAUGUCCAGGGCUACACACGUGCUACAAUGGGUGGUACAAAGAGCCGCGAACUCGCGAGAGCAAGCAAAUCUCAAAAAACCAUCCUCAGUUCGGAUUGGAGUCUGCAACUCGACUCCAUGAAGCUGGAAUCGCUAGUAAUCGCGGAUCAGCAUGCCGCGGUGAAUACGUUCCCGGGCCUU
rnacentral:rRNA from 1 species